AGUCCCGUGGUGUAUUACAUUUCGGAUUGCAAAUCCGAAGAUGCAGGUUAACGGCCCGCCGGGGCUU
rnacentral:tRNA from 1 species